rnacentral:ncRNA from 1 species
CAUUUGGAGAGUUUGAUCCUGGCUCAGGACGAACGCUGGCGGCGUGCCUAAUACAUGCAAGUCGAGCGGAGUUGAUG